rnacentral:rRNA from 1 species
GCCCUCUGGUUGAUCCUGGCGGAGGCCAUUGCUAUCGGUGUCCGAUUUAGCCAUGCGAGUUGUACGUUUACCGUAGCAAACUGCUCAGUAACACGUGGCCAAACUGCCCUAUGGACCGGAAUAACCUCGGGAAACUGAGGCUAAUUCCGGAUACCACAUUCAUCCUGGAACUGGAGAAUGUGCGAAAUGCUCCGGCGCCAUAGGAUGUGGCUGCGGCCGAUUAGGUAGACGGUGGGGUAACGGCCCACCGUGCCGAUAAUCGGUACGGGUCAUGAGAGUGAGAGCCCGGAGACGGACUCUGAGACACCGAGUCCGGGCCCUACGGGGCGCAGCAGGCGCGAAACCUUUACACUGCACGACAGUGCGAUAGGGGGACACCGAGUGCGAGGGCAUAGAGCCCUCGCUUUUCUGAACCGUAAGGAGGUUCAGGAACAAGGGCUGGGCAAGACCGGUGCCAGCCGCCGCGGUAAUUCGGGCUAGAGCGGCCGCCACCGCGGUGG